rnacentral:rRNA from 1 species
UACGUAGGGUGCAAGCGUUUAUCCGGAAUUAUUGGGCGUAAAGAGCUCGUAGGCGGUUUGUCGCGUCUGCUGUGAAAACCGGAGGCUCAACCUCCGGCCUGCAGUGGGUACGGGCAAACUAGAGUGCGGUAGGGGAGAUUGGAAUUCCUGGUGUAGCGGUGGAAUGCGCAGAUAUCAGGAGGAACACCGAUGGCGAAGGCAGAUCUCUGGGCCGUAACUGACGCUGAGGAGCGAAAGCAUGGGGAGCGAACAGG